UAACGCGAAGAACCUUACCUGGUCUUGACAUCCACGGAAGUUUUCAGAGAUGAGAAUGUGCCUUCGGGAACCGUGAGACAAGUGCUGCAUGGCUGUCGUCAGCUCGUGUUGUGAAAUGUUGGGUUAAGUCCCGCAACGAGCGCAACCCUUAUCCUUUGUUGCCAGCGGUCCGGCCGGGAACUCAAAGGAGACUGCCAGUGAUAAACUGGAGGAAGGUGGGGAUGACGUCAAGUCAUCAUGGCCCUUACGACCAGGGCUACACACCUGCUACAAUGGCGCAUACAAAGAGAAGCGACCUCGCGAGAGCAAGCGGACCUCAUAAAGUGCGUCGUAGUCCGGAUUGGAGUCUGCAACUCGACUCCAUGAAGUCGGAAUCGCUAGUAAUCGUGGAUCAGAAUGCCACGGUGAAUACGUUCCCGGGCCUUGUACACACCG
rnacentral:rRNA from 1 species